rnacentral:lncRNA from 1 species
UUUUCUUUGUCCAUUAUCUAGAAUUUCACAAUCAUGUUCUUCAGAAUAGGAUUUUUUUAAAAUCCAUCAUUCCUUAUAUAAUAGAUCCUCUCAAUCUGUAAAUCUUAAAUUCUGAAAAACUUAUUUUCUUUUUUGGAUAUUGGAUUCCCCCCUGCCUUGUCUCUGGAAUUUCUGAUAUUCAAACACUAGGUUGUUACUUGAUCCUCUAUUUUUUUUUCCUUUUUUUUUUAAAAAAAAUUGCAUGUGGAGAGGUUGGAGUUGUAGUUCAGUGGUAGAGAGGCAUGAUUCUUGGCACCACAUAUAAAUAAAUAAAGUAAAUAAAGGCCAAUUAACAACUAAAAACUUUUUAAAAAAUUGUGUGUGUGUGAGUGUGUGUGUGUGUAUUUUGGGAGUGAUAAAUGUCCCACUUUUUUUCCUUCUAGUUUAUUUGCAAAAAUUUUAAACCUCUAGUCUUAUAAUAUUUAUUUUCAGUAGUUCCUUUUUUAAACUUCUUUCUCCAGAAUAUCUCUCUUUUUUCCCCUAUUUUGACUGUCAUCAGAAAUAUUAUCCUACUUUUGUUUCAUGGAUUCAAUAUCUCUUUCUUACUGAGUCAUUGUGAAUGCUUGUGUUCCUGCCAUUAUUAGAAAUAGGAGAUAUUGCCAGCAACUUAGAAGUUCAAUUCUGGUCAGUUCUCUUUUCUGGUCAAUUCUCCCUACCACACCCUACCUGAAUUUUGAAUUAAUCAUUACAUUGAUUUUCCUUAAAAUUCAAAUACAUAGGUAUAUAACUUUGAACAUUAUAUUAUUUUGUUUAUCUUAGAUUGUUCUUCAAAUCUAAUCAGACUGCUUUUAUUAUUUGUUGC